rnacentral:lncRNA from 1 species
GCCCAUGUAGACCGGCCAAAGAGACCCAGAGCGAGGCGUGAAUGAACUUCUGCGUCACACUCUCAUUCUGAAUCCUGAGUUUAUCUAUGAACAGUCUGCUCCAUUUCUCCAAUGAUAUUUUGUUGCAUGUUUCACGAAGCUUGAGAGGAGUGAAGAUAGCACGGUCAGAACAAAUGGACAGCCGUGGUAGGAGCUUGAGGCGUUUCAUCUUCUGGUAUAUCUACGUAUGUGUGUCAGGGGAGCAGAAAGCCAUUGGUGUGUCAUGUUGCAUCUGGACAAGGAACAUUGCACCAAGGAACAACUCCAAAACUUGAGAGUGCAACCACGCUGAUGAACACAUUGUAAGUCUGUGGCCAUUUUGUGUCCACCCUUUUUUUUUUUUUUUUGCUACGUCACACUUUCUACAAAAUGGCGAAUGAUUCUGAAUGUCCUACACUCAACUCGAACAGGGGUUGCAUGCAGGACGUAACAUCGGUCAAGAUUAAACGAUUUACCUGACAGUGACUUUGUAGUAUUUCCUUUAUGGAGCAGUUUUUGAGAGGUAUGUGCAAACUACCAACAUAAAACUGCUUGAUAUAUUUUUUUCUGCAUGCUGUUUCGAUAAAGUUUCUGAAUUGAGCCAUUUUUUUGUCUUGUGACUUUCACUUCACCAUGUAAUAAAGCUACCUGUGCUUGUUUUGUUUUGUCUUUUUAUGUUGCCAGCCCUUCUUUCCCCAUACAUCAAUCUAUGUCACAGAGCACCCACAUGUAUGUCAAUAGAACAAGCUAUCUGGAUUACAGGAUUAUAAAGACUGACCUGUGUGCUUUUCACAUGCCAGUGAGGAGAAGUGAAAGUAGGCUGCAGCUCAACCCCAGCUCCCUACUACAGUUUUAGAACAGCUGAAGCGCAGAGUAAAGGUAUCGGAACACUAGUCAGAAAUUUGAAGAUGACGGUUUCGUGAAUUUGAGUAAUUUAUAUUGGAAAUUCAAGCAGAUACUUUGUUCUGGAUGUUAUCUCUAUUUACUUUCAAAUGUAGAAGAUUUUUUUAGAAUAAUACAGAUAAAUUACUGACAUGUAUACUUGUUUUAAAGUUGUCCAACUAGUCCUGCCAACUGUAAAUGCAAAGCUGCUCUCUGAAGCUUAUUUUAGGCUUUUUCAGUUUCAGUCGAUACAGAUUUUGCUUUGAGACUUUUGAAUCCCGAACCUAAAUCAACAGAGACACUGCACAAACCUGCAUGUCAUAACCAUACUACUACACAGCGAGCUUACUGAGACCUGUCAAAGUAUGUCUUGAAUUCAUUCUUAAUAACAGCAAAUUGCUAUGGCAAUACAGUAACAGAAACUGUUUUUUAAAUGAACUGCUUUGUUCUCUUUUAAGUAAUAAUGGAAAUGAUAGAUAUUAUUUUUUCAAUAUUAAUAGAAUAUGUUGUGUAAUGAUUAGAGAGAGCACAAAUGCAGUGUAUGUCUAUGUUGAUGUUUAAGUAUCACUCCCUUAUUGUAUUUCUUGUACUGAUGUAAAUUCUUUUUUUAAGAAUAACCAUGUUACUUCAUCUUUGCUGUGCUGCCAUGCAAAUAAAUUUUGGCAUUCAUUAAAUUUG